GUAUGGAAUAGUAUGGUAAGGUAUGGUAUGGUAUUGGAAUGGCAUAGUAUGGUAUGGUAUGGUAUGGUACAGUACAGUAUAGUAUGGUAUGGAAUACCCAUCACUAUCAUAGCAUACAUACCUUUAACUGAAUCCGACUUAGAAGCAAUACCACCAAAGAAAUCCAAAGUGAAAUCAGCAUUUGAACUUUGUAUCACAUCCAAUGUACACUCAAACUCUUCGCUGCUCUCGACAGCCGAUGGACAUCGGAGAGAUGACACUACCGGCACUUUGACCUCGAUUUCAGUCUCCGCGCUGACAGACACA